AUUGAACGCUGGCGGCAUGCCUUACACAUGCAAGUCGAACGGCAGCGCGGGCUUCGGCCUGGCGGCGAGUGGCGAACGGGUGAGUAACAUAUCGGAACGUGCCCAAGAGUGGGGGAUAACCAGUCGAAAGACUGGCUAAUACCGCAUACGAUCUAAGGAUGAAAGUGGGGGAUCGCAAGACCUCAUGCUCCUGGAGCGGCCGAUAUCUGAUUAGCUAGUUGGUGGGGUAAAGGCCUACCAAGGCGACGAUCAGUAGCUGGUCUGAGAGGACGACCAGCCACACUGGGACUGAGACACGGCCCAGACUCCUACGGGAGGCAGCAGUGGGGAAUUUUGGACAAUGGGCGCAAGCCUGAUCCAGCAAUGCCGCGUGCAGGAAGAAGGCCUUCGGGUUGUAAACUGCUUUUGUACGGAGCGAAAAGGCUCCCUCUAAUACAGGGGGCUCAUGACGGUACCGUAAGAAUAAGCACCGGCUAACUACGUGCCAGCCGCCGCAGUAACAC
rnacentral:rRNA from 1 species